rnacentral:rRNA from 1 species
AUUGAACGCUAGCGGCAUGCCUUACACAUGCAAGUCGAACGGAGUGGCGAACGGGUGAGUAAGGUAUCUGAACGUGCCCAGUAGCGGGGGAUAACUACGCGAAAGCGUAGCUAAUACCUCAUACUUUUGAAGCGGCCUAUAGUGGAUUAGCUAGUUGGUGGGGUAACGGCCCACCAAGGCGACGAUCCGUAGCUGGGUUGAGAGGACGACCAGCCAAACUGGGACUGAGACACGGCCCAGACUCCUACGGGAGGCAGCAGUGGGGAAUUUUGGACAAUGGGGGAAACCCUGAUCCAGCCAUCCCGCGUGUGCGAUGAAGGCCUUCGGGUUGUAAAGCACUUUUGGCAGGAAAGCGGUACCUGCAGAAGAAGCACCGGCUAACUACGUGCCAGCAGCCGCGGUAAUAC